rnacentral:rRNA from 1 species
CACGUAGGGUGCGAGCGUUGUCCGGAAUUAUUGGGCGUAAAGAGCUCGUAGGCGGUGUGUCGCGUCGGCCGUGAAAACCUGCAGCUUAACUGUGGGCUUGCGGUCGAUACGGGCAUCACUGGAGUUCGGCAGGGGAGACUGGAAUUCCUGGUGUAGCGGUGAAAUGCGUAGAUAUCCGGAGGAACACCGGUGGCGAAGGCGGCUUCCUGGACCGACACUGACGCUGAGGCGCGAAAGCUAGGGGAGCAAACGGG